AUACUUACCUGACGCGAGAGGCACCUUGAUCAACUAGGAGGUCCUCUCAGGAUGAGGCCCUUUCAUUGCACUUCGACUGGGUUGACUCCUACGAUUACCCCUAAUGUGGGUAACUCGAGCGUAUAAUUUCUGGUAGUGGGGACCUGCGUUCGCGCUCGUCCCCU
rnacentral:snRNA from 1 species